AACAAAUGUUGUUUUGUUGGGUAGUUCAUUGUAAUCCUACAAUGUGAUUUGCCUAAAAGCAAAUGAACAAGAGAUAGAACUCAAAGAAUGGGUUCUUUGAGAGACAAGAAAGUAAUCAACAAAUAUAAACAACCUAGUUCCUAUACCAAAAGCUCCAAGGUAGUCGAGAAGGAUUUAUAAACCGUCUCAGUUGAAUGGUUUGAAUUUUAUGACUAUGUCAUAGAGUUGCACCUCUUAAUUCGAAAGAAAUAAGAAUGAAAUUCCUUAUGACUACAUUGAGUGUAUAUAUGAUAUAUACUUAAGGAAAUGGUAAAGUACCAUUUGACCCGAAAUAAUGAAACCUUCAUAAGCUAAUUGGUAGCCUAAGGUAACUACAAUCAAAAGA
rnacentral:lncRNA from 1 species